CGAUGUUACGAGGACUGAGAAGCCACGGGACCAGAACCUUCAGGUUGUUUAUGAACUCACCGUCGAUCUCUAGACGGGGGAGGAGAGGCAACGCCUGGAAGACCUCGCUCCAGAUCUGGAUCCCGGUGGUCUCCCUCUCUGAGCCCCCCCUCCAGGAGAAACCAGUCAGAGGCUCCUCUGGAUCUCCGAGCCAGCCUUCAGAUGCCUGAGCACAGCGGGAUCACAAGCGGGCCCCAUUGUUUUACAACCUGCCCGUGACCGCCAUCGCCCGCGCAGUCACUUACAUGGUUGUACAUGUAUCGCAGCAUGAAGUCCAUGAGGAAGGACUUGCCCUUGCGGAAAGCUCCAGCCACAGAGAUGGCCACCA